GCACGAUCUUUAGCCCCAUACAGUAAAC
rnacentral:sRNA from 1 species